GAUGAACGCUGGCGGCGUGCUUAACACAUGCAAGUCGAACGAAGCACUUUAUUUGAUUUCCUUCGGGACUGAUUAUUUUGUGACUGAGUGGCGGACGGGUGAGUAACGCGUGGGUAACCUGCCUUGUACAGGGGGAUAACAGUUGGAAACGGCUGCUAAUACCGCAUAAGCGCACGGCAUCGCAUGAUGCAGUGUGAAAAACUCCGGUGGUAUAUGAUGGACCCGCGUUGGAUUAGCUAGUUGGUGAGGUAACGGCCCACCAAGGCGACGAUCCAUAGCCGACCUGAGAGGGUGACCGGCCACAGUGGGACUGAGACACGGCCCAAACUCCUACGGGAGGCAGCAGUGGGGAAUAUUGCACAAUGGGCGAAAGCCUGAUGCAGCGACGCCGCGUGAGCGAAGAAGUAUUUCGGUAUGUAAAGCUCUAUCAGCAGGGAAGAUAAUGACGGUACCUGACUAAGAAGCACCGGCUAAAUACGUG
rnacentral:rRNA from 1 species